UGCCUUACACAUGCAAGUCGAACGGCAGCACGGGAGUAAUCCUGGUGGCGAGUGGCGAACGGGUGAGUAAUAUAUCGGAACGUGCCCAGUCGUGGGGGAUAACGCAGCGAAAGCUGUGCUAAUACCGCAUACGAUCUCUGGAUGAAAGCGGGGGACUCGCAAGGGCCUCGCGCGAUUGGAGCGGCCGAUAUCAGAUUAGCUAGUUGGUGGGGUAAAGGCUCACCAAGGCGACGAUCUGUAGCUGGUCUGAGAGGACGACCAGCCACACUGGAACUGAGACACGGUCCAGACUCCUACGGGAGGCAGCAGUGGGGAAUUUUGGACAAUGGGCGCAAGCCUGAUCCAGCAAUGCCGCGUGCAGGAUGAAGGCCUUCGGGUUGUAAACUGC
rnacentral:rRNA from 1 species